GACGAACGCUGGCGGCGUGCUUAACACAUGCCAGUCGAACGGAAAGGCCCUGCUUUUGUGGGGUGCUCGAGUGGCGAACGGGUGAGUAACACGUGAGUAACCUGCCCUUGACUUUGGGAUAACUUCAGGAAACUGGGGCUAAUACCGGAUAGGAGCUCCUGCUGCAUGGUGGGGGUUGGAAAGUUUCGGCGGUUGGGGAUGGACUCGCGGCUUAUCAGCUUGUUGGUGGGGUAGUGGCUUACCAAGGCUUUGACGGGUAGCCGGCCCGAGAGGGUGACCGGCCACAUUGGGACUGAGAUACGGACCAGACUCCUACGGGAGGCAGCAGUGGGGAAUAUUGCACAAUGGGCGGGAGCCUGAUGCAGCAACGCCGCGUGCGGGAUGACGGCUUUCGGGUUGUAAACCGCUUUCGCCUGUGACGAAGAGUGAGUGACGGUAAUGGGUAAAGAAGCACCGGCUAACUACGUG
rnacentral:rRNA from 1 species